UUCUCAGACCCGGAACUACAAUUCCCAGGGAGCGUGGUCCCUGCGAAAUGCUGGGAGAUGCAGUUCUCAGUUCUGCCUCCAUGUUACGAAAAAGAAGUGAAGGAGAAGAAAAAAGGGAACGAAUAUGCCAACCCACCGAGAAUGGCUGGCCUUGCAGAACUCCCAGGGCAGAGAAGAGAGCUAAUUAAGGUACCAGAUACUUUCCAUGCUGUGAAGAGCUGACAAAAGCGAGAGUUGUUACUAACAAAUGCCAGAAAAGAACUGGGAGAUCACUUGCUUUGGCAGAAGCCAGCUGCCAUGUCGUGAGAACAGAUUCACAUUAUGAGGAACUAAGACCUCCUGCCAACAACCAAGCUUCCUGUCAAGCCUUCAGAUGACUGCAACCUCACGAAGCCCCUGAAUCACGUAGUUAGGCCACACUUCUAAAUUCCUGACCACAGAAAAUAUGUGAGACAAUAAAUGUCUAUUGUUUUAAGCCACUAA